UGGGGAAUAUUGGACAAUGGGCGGAAGCCUGAUCCAGCAACGCCGCGUGAGGGAUGACGGCCUUCGGGUUGUAAACCUCUUUCAGUACCGACGAAGCGGAAGUGACGGUAGGUACAGAAGAAGCACCGGCCAACUACGUGCCAGCAGCCGCGGUAAUACGUAGGGUGCGAGCGUUGUCCGGAAUUAUUGGGCGUAAAGGGCUCGUAGGCGGUUUGUCGCGUCGGGAGUGAAAACACUGGGCUUAACUCAGUGCUUGCUUCCGAUACGGGCAGACUAGAGGCAUGCAGGGGAGAACGGAAUUCCUGGUGUAGCGGUGAAAUGCGCAGAUAUCAGGAGGAACACCGGUGGCGAAGGCGGUUCUCUGGGCAUGUCCUGACGCUGAGGAGCGAAAGUGUGGGGAGCGAACAGGAUUAGAUACCCUGGUAGUCCACACCGUAAACGUUGGGCGCUAGGUGUGGGGGCCUAUUCCCAUGGGUUCUGUGCCGCAGCUAACGCAUUAAGCGCCCCGCCUGGGGAGUACGGCCGCAAGGCUAAAACUUAAAUGAAUUGACGGGGUCAUAGCUGUUUCCU
rnacentral:rRNA from 1 species